UACAGAGGUGGCAAGCGUUGUUCGGAAUUACUGGGCGUAAAGCGCACGUAGGCGGACUCUUAAGUCAGGGGUGAAAUCCUGGAGCUCAACUCCAGAACUGCCUUUGAUACUGGGAGUCUUGAGUUCGGGAGAGGUGAGUGGAACUGCGAGUGUAGAGGUGAAAUUCGUAGAUAUUCGCAAGAACACCAGUGGCGAAGGCGGCUCACUGGCCCGAUACUGACGCUGAGGUGCGAAAGCGUGGGGAGCAAACAGG
rnacentral:rRNA from 1 species